UAGUUACCAAUUUUCAGAAUAAUUUCUUAUACCUAAAUGCACUAAAUCAUGGCAGUCUUCAAAAUCAGAAAAUCGUAUUGUAAAUUUAUUGUCUGGAGUGGCAUGAUAUUCUUUUUAAUAUUUAUUGUUACACGGUGGAUAAAUUCCUAUCAGCUCAUCGACGACGUUGACAGAAGAAAGAGAAUACUGAUAAUGGAUCAAUAUAUUAAAGCAAAAUCAACUUCCAAGGCUUGCAAACAACCAAAUUUGCCCGUAUAUUCUCCCCAAUUGAUGCAAUUUUUUGAAGAAGUUCAACCAAUUGACUGUAGUUCAGCAGGUUCACCGUGGGUAUCAUGUGAGAAUUCCGAAUGUAAAAUUGAAGACGAAGCAAAAAGGAAAUUUGGAGAAAUUACUUGUACGUUUACUGAUCAGAUACGAGUAGACGACUUCACUGUAGUAUCAGGAAAAUCGACGAUGAGAACAUCCGUCUAUAUUCUUAGAGAUAGUGAUGUUGUAAGUCAAUUUUGAAAUAGUAUAACAGUUAUUGUUAGGAUACACAGCAAGUAAAAUUAUAGCAAACUCACAACAAAGCAUCUGCCGAUGCGCCAAGAUUUUUAAUUAUAAUUUCCCGAAAAUAGUUGCAUUCUUAUAGAGCGCGCUUUUUAUUAGUCACGCUAGUGUGAGCCGUACGGCCAGUUGUCUCGCACUCUUUUUUAUCCUGAAACUGAAAUUUAGUAAAUCAUACAUGCAUUAAAUACCUGCAAUCUAAUGUACAAAACACAACUUCCGAAUUGCUAAAUUACGUAGAUAUGUUAGAUAAGUAAUAUAGGAACAAAACAUGAUAAUAUGUCAUUUUGCUUAGCUUUGCUUAUUUUUUCCAUAUAUAAAGUUUGUUGCACUAAGAUGCUUCACUCUAGCUGUAGACUAGGCCUUACACCGCGUGUGUAUUGUAGCUUCGCUCAAUAAAUAUUUUUAAAAAGACUUUUCCUUAAUUUGAGCAUAUAACAAUUGGCGCAGUCAGUAGGAUUUGUCAGGUAAAGGCAAAUCCGAUUCUAAUAAAGUUUAAAAAUCGAUUUACUAAGUGACUACGUGAAGCCGUUUGCUUUUCGUCGGUUCGGUAAACCGGAAACAAAAAACUGUCCAAACGAACUGUCCAAAACUGUGCAUCGUUUAAGUUUUGUGCGUUUGCCGAGUUAGCAGUUAGAAGCCGUUUGCUUCGACCUUGCCUAAUAAGACCUCCGAAAAAGAAGACUGUCAAAAGGACGUCUCACCCCGUUUCCCUCCUGCGAGGACCAGACCAAGCAGCUGUAUGUUUCGAAUCAUCCUAACCAUCGUCACACUAGUGGACUACUCAAGGUAGGUGGUUUGAAGAUAUUUGCCAUUUUCAUAUUUUUGUACGAAAAUCCUUUCCCUAUUCCCUAAUUGCUUUUAUUAUCGAAUAAUUUUGUGUCAAUCAUGACCGAACAAGGAGACAGUUAUUCUAGGAAAGAAUUGUCUGAAUUAAUUCCAAAUUUUGAUGGUGAUAAUAUUCCAUUACACCAAUUUGUUGAAACAGUAGAUUUUGUUUUCGAAAAAGCAAAAGCCAGUGACCAAGAAUAUUUAUUUAGAAUUAUUUUAAAUCGGUUAUCAGGUCGUGCAGGACGAGUGAUUCUCGCAAGGCAUUAUGAUAACUGGUUAAGUGUCAAAAAUUCAUUAAUUACUAAUUUCGGACUUGAACGUUCCGCUGAAUGUUUAAUUGCAGACCUCACACGAUUUAGAAAUACAAAUAAGCUUUCCAUUAAAGAAACUUAUAACAAAAUUGCCAAAAUUCGCGAUGAUCUUAUCGCAGUAGCUAUUGAAAACACUUCUGAGGAUGCAAACCCAAUUGAUGUUCUGUCAGAGUUUAUAGAUAAAAUAGCCAAAACAACAUUUUUAAAUAAUAUACCGAAAGAUGUUGAAAUAUCUAUUGCUCACGCUCAAGCGCAAAGUUUAGAGGUAGCUUUUUCCUAUGCGUAUUCGGCGCAUAAAAGGUUAAAAGAACGUGAAGAUCAGGAGAAAUUCGCUCAAUUUAAAUCUAAUAAUAAUAAACUUUCUCAAAAUAGAGUAAUAAACAAUAACAACAAAAACACAUAUUUCAAAAAAGAAACCAGUAGUAGUAAUGAGUUAUCUCCUAGGCCGAGUGCUUCAUCAACAAAUACGUUUAAUAGAUCAUUUAAUAGUAAUAACGAUAAUAAUCCAAAUCGCCGCUCUUUUGGUACCCCCUUCAAAGGUUUUCCUAAGCAACCCCCAAAAGUUAACACAUGCGAGAUCCAAACUGAAAAUCCCGAAUCUGAUCCUGAAGAUAAUGAAGUUGAACUGGACAAUUUAAACUUGGAUGUGAACGAAGCAGAAGAGGGUUGUUCGUUCAACUAAAUGAAAAUCCCUCAACCUUAUGUAAUUUUAAGAUUAACACUACCAAAAUAAUGACAGAAAUUGUUCCAUUUAUUAUUUCAAAAAUUAAAGGUAUUCCAGUCAAAUUAAUGAUUGAUACAGGUGCCUCUAUAAAUUUGAUCAAAUAUAAACCAGAAUUGAAAAAAUUUAUAGAUUUUAUAGAUACUGUUAGUGUUUCAGGAUUAAAUGCUGAUUCGUUUAAAACAUUAGGUUCCAUCACAACAAAAUUCAAGGAAAAAAACGUCAAGUUUCAUGUCGCACAUUUAGAUAUAGAAUUAGAUGGAAUACUAGGCAUUGAAUUUCUUAAAACGUUGAAUUGCAAUUUAGAUUUACAUCACAAUAACAUUUCUUUCUUAGAAAACAACGACAAGAUCCCGAUUCAUUUAAAAAAGGAAACUAAAGUGCUUAAUCAUAUAGUACUUCACAAGCGUGCCGAACAAAUAAUUAGGAUAAAAACUAACUUAAAACCGGGAAGUGAAGGUAUUUUGCCAAAAAUGAAUAUAAGUGAUAAACUUUUAAUUCCUGAAUGCCUAGUUAGAGUAGACAAAAAUCAAGAUAUAUUCACCACUGCAGUAAAUUUGACAGAUAAAGAGUUAAAAUUUUCAGUCAAUAAAGUAAUUUUAGAGGACGCACCUACCCACGCAUUUCAACCGAAUAUAAUUAAAAGAAAUGGUAGAUUUGAUAAAUUAAAAGAAAAUCUAAGGCUAGACCAUUUGAACAGUGAGGAGCGUAACGAAAUCCUUAAAUUAUGUUAUGACUUUUCAGAUAUUUUCUAUUUAGAAGGAGACCAAUUAACCUUUACUUCUUUAGUAAAACAUGAAAUUAAAACUACCCAUGAAAACCCGAUACACACUAAGACGUACCGUUUCCCAAAUGUACACAAAGAAGAGGUAAAUAAACAGGUAUCAAAAAUGUUAGAACAGAAAAUUAUUAGACCAAGUAGUUCCCCAUACUCUUCUCCAAUUUGGGUCGUACCUAAAAAGGUUGACAGUUCAGGCAAAACCAAAUGGAGAAUGGUCGUAGACUAUAGAAAUUUAAAUAAAAUCACUAUCCCAGACAAACAUCCAUUACCAAAUAUAGAGGAAAUUUUAGAUAACCUAGGACACGCCCAAUAUUUCUCUACACUUGACUUAACUAGCGGAUUCCAUCAGAUAGAAGUUCAUCCAAAUUCAAUUCCCAAAACUGCAUUUUCCACUCCCACUUCUCAUUAUGAAUUUUUAAGAAUGCCAUUUGGCCUAGCUAAUGCACCAGCCACUUUUCAGCGAAUGAUGAAUAACGUCUUAACAGGUCUUACCCCUACACAAUGUCUCUUAUACCUGGAUGAUAUUAUUAUUUUUGGGAAUUCCUUAGAAGACCACUGUAAUAAAUUGCGUAAUGUUUUAAGACGACUUCGAGAACACAAUCUCAAAAUUC
rnacentral:misc_RNA from 1 species